rnacentral:rRNA from 1 species
UUCCGUAGGUGAACCUGCGGAAGGAUCMUUAUUGAUUGUGAAUGGUUGCCUUCAGUGCUGGCUCCGGCAAGUGCACGCUGGUGACUUCAAUCCAAUACCCUUGUGAACCAUUGGCCUCUUGCUAGCUUCGGCUGGUAGAGGAUAUUUACACCAACUCGAAUGUAAUGAAAUUAUUGUUGUGCGCAAGCACUAAUGUACAACUUUCAACAACGGAUCUCUUGGCUCUCGCAUCGAUGAAGAACGCAGCGAAAUGCGAUAAGUAAUGUGAAUUGCAGAAUUCAGUGAAUCAUCGAAUCUUUGAACGCACCUUGCACCCUUUGGCAUUCCGAAGGGUAUGCUCGUUUGAGUGUCAUUGUACUCUCACACUUCCAAUUCUAUGGAUUGGGAGCGGUGGACUUGGGCGCUGCUGCUUUACUGUGGCUCACCUCAAAUGCAUUASUGCAACCCUUGGUUAGACAUAGUACGGCGUGAUAAGUGUCUUCGCUGGCGCCUCACUUAGAGGGUGGCUGAUCAGGGGCUCUGUGCUUCAAACCGUCUUUGGACAAUGGCUGACAACUUGACCUCAAAUCGAGUAGGACUACCCGCUGAACUUAAGCAUAUCAAUAARCGGAGGAAAAGAAACUAACAAGGAUUCCCCUAGUAACGGCGAGUGAAGAGGGAAGAGCUCAAAUUUUGAAUCUGGCGUCUUUGGCGUCCGAAUUGUAAUCUAGAGAAGUGUUUUCCGUGACGGACCGUGYAUAAGUCUCCUGGAAUGGAGYGUCAUAGAGGGUGAGAAUCCCGUAUAUGGCACGGACUCCCGUUGCUCUGUGAUACACUCUCGACGAGUCGAGUUGUUUGGGAAUGCAGCUCCAAAUGGGUGGUAAAUGCCAUCUAAAGCUAAAUAUUGGCGAGAGACCGAUAGCGAACAAGUACCGUGAGGGAAAGAUGAAAAGCACUUUGGAAAGAGAGUGAAACAGUACGUGAAAUUGUUGAAAGGGAAACGCUUGAAGUCAGUCGCGCCGUUCGGGAUUCAGCCUUGCUUCUGCUCGGUUUACUUCCCGUUGGGUGGGUCAACAUCAGUUCUAGACGGAGGAGAAAGGCUUGGGGAAGGU